CAUUUUUUGUAAUACUAGUUGGUGGUAAUGAACUCCUUUAGCUUUUUCUUGUUGGGGAAGCUCUAUUUCUUCCUCUAUGUUAAGUGAUAUCUUUGAUGGGUAAAGUAGUCUUGAUUACAGGACCUUGCUUUUCAUCACUUUGAAUAUUUCAUGUCAAUCCCUUCUGGUCUGAAACGUUUGUUGAGACAUCAGCUGACAGUCCCAUGGGAGCUCCAUUGUAGGUAACUUUUUCUUUUAUGGCUUUUAAGAUUAUCUCUGACUUUAACCUUUGUCAUUUUAGUUACAGUGUGUCUUGGUGUGGGCCUCUUUGGCUAAAACUAGUUUGAGACAG